rnacentral:rRNA from 1 species
GACGAGCGCUGGCGGCGUGCCUAAUACAUGCAAGUCGAACGAACUCUGGUAUUGAUUGGUGCUUGCAUCAUGAUUUACAUUUGAGUGAGUGGCGAACUGGUGAGUAACACGUGGGAAACCUGCCCAGAAGCGGGGGAUAACACCUGGAAACAGAUGCUAAUACCGCAUAACAACUUGGACCGCAUGGUCCGAGUUUGAAAGAUGGCUUCGGCUAUCACUUUUGGAUGGUCCCGCGGCGUAUUAGCUAGAUGGUGGGGUAACGGCUCACCAUGGCAAUGAUACGUAGCCGACCUGAGAGGGUAAUCGGCCACAUUGGGACUGAGACACGGCCCAAACUCCUACGGGAGGCAGCAGUAGGGAAUCUUCCACAAUGGACGAAAGUCUGAUGGAGCAACGCCGCGUGAGUGAAGAAGGGUUUCGGCUCGUAAAACUCUGUUGUUAAAGAAGAACAUAUCUGAGAGUAACUGUUCAGGUAUUGACGGUAUUUAACCAGAAAGCCACGGCUAACUACGUGCCAGCAGCCGCGGUAAUACGUAGGUGGCAAGCGUUGUCCGGAUUUAUUGGGCGUAAAGCGAGCGCAGGCGGUUUUUUAAGUCUGAUGUGAAAGCCUUCGGCUCAACCGAAGAAGUGCAUCGGAAACUGGGAAACUUGAGUGCAGAAGAGGACAGUGGAACUCCAUGUGUAGCGGUGAAAUGCGUAGAUAUAUGGAAGAACACCAGUGGCGAAGGCGGCUGUCUGGUCUGUAACUGACGCUGAGGCUCGAAAGUAUGGGUAGCAAACAGGAUUAGAUACCCUGGUAGUCCAUACCGUAAACGAUGAGUGCUAAGUGUUGGAGGGUUUCCGCCCUUCAGUGCUGCAGCUAACGCAUUAAGCAUUCCGCCUGGGGAGUACGGCCGCAAGGCUGAAACUCAAAGGAAUUGACGGGGGCCCGCACAAGCGGUGGAGCAUGUGGUUUAAUUCGAAGCUACGCGAAGAACCUUACCAGGUCUUGACAUACUAUGCAAAUCUAAGAGAUUAGACGUUCCCUUCGGGGACAUGGAUACAGGUGGUGCAUGGUUGUCGUCAGCUCGUGUCGUGAGAUGUUGGGUUAAGUCCCGCAACGAGCGCAACCCUUAUUAUCAGUUGCCAGCAUUAAGUUGGGCACUCUGGUGAGACUGCCGGUGACAAACCGGAGGAAGGUGGGGAUGACGUCAAAUCAUCAUGCCCCUUAUGACCUGGGCUACACACGUGCUACAAUGGAUGGUACAACGAGUUGCGAACUCGCGAGAGUAAGCUAAUCUCUUAAAGCCAUUCUCAGUUCGGAUUGUAGGCUGCAACUCGCCUACAUGAAGUCGGAAUCGCUAGUAAUCGCGGAUCAGCAUGCCGCGGUGAAUACGUUCCCGGGCCUUGUACACACCGCCCGUCACACCAUGAGAGUUUGUAACACCCAAAGUCGGUGGGGUAACCUUUUAGGAACCAGCCGCCUAAGGUGGGACAGAUGAUUAGGGUG